rnacentral:rRNA from 1 species
AUUGAACGCUGGCGGCAGGCUUAACACAUGCAAGUCGAACGGUAACAUAAAGAAGCUUGCUUCUUUGAUGACGAGUGGCGGACGGGUGAGUAAUGCUUGGGAAUCUAGCUUAUGGAGGGGGAUAACUACGGGAAACUGUAGCUAAUACCGCGUAAUAUCGAAAGAUUAAAGUGUGGGACCUUCGGGCCACAUGCCAUAGGAUGAGCCCAAGUGGGAUUAGGUAGUUGGUGAGGUAAAGGCUCACCAAGCC